GGGGGUGAAUAAUGUGUUCAAAAUACUUUCGUAAGGCAGCGUCUAAUGGAUUAUGAGAGAAAUAUAAUUUAAAUAAAAUGUUUAAAGGUUAGUUUUUAUAAAGUGUGUAUAUGGAAAACAUUUCAAAGAGCAAAGCAAUAAAGCAUAGAUUUUAUAUUGGUUCGCUCAACCUAAGCUACGUAAAGUUCUCCCUUAAGAACUCUUAAGGGGUUCCACCAAUCUUUACGAAGAUUGCACGAGUCUUACCUCUUCAAGUUUACAACG
rnacentral:lncRNA from 1 species